rnacentral:lncRNA from 1 species
ACGAUCCCUACUUGCAUCAUUACUACAAUUGUCAUCAAUAGGGUUUAAUUUGUGUGUCAACUUAAAUUUCGACACCAAGCAUACACCAAAGAGUAAAUCAAAUUUUCAUCCAUGUUUAUAACUCUCUUUAAUAGUCAUGUAAUUAAAAACCAAAUCCUCAUCAUUGUGUUGUAAGGUACCCUAAGACACAAAUAAACAUACAAAAACAACUCUUUUUGGGUUUUUCAAAACAAUUUUUCAAAUUUUUAUGAGAUUUUCUGAUUUUUAUGUCAAAACACACUGAAACACUCCAAAACAGCUUAAAAACGCUUAAAACAGCAAGGAACAACACUAUAAGUAAUGGGUGAUAAACUCCUACGAAUUUCAUGCAAAACAAUGGUUACCCCCCCCCCAACACUUAAAUCAAACAUUGUCCUCAAUGUUUCAAGCAUAAACUCACACAAAAAACAAGCAAAUAAAAAACAACGAAUAAACAUGACAAGUAUGGCAAAGUAAAAACCAGACAGAGUAGAGUUUAAGAAUGCAAAUCUGGUUUUGGACAUAGAUGAUCUUGUUGUCUUUCCACAGCUUUGAUCUCGAACUGGUUUGGAAUUCUGAGCGAGGAAUAUAAGAGUUCCAUGGUUUCAAAUCAAACUCGUUCUGCUGGGUUGAUUUGAUUGUGUAGUCUGCAUUCUUCUCUGCUUGUUUCUUCUACACAGCAGGCAUGAGGUAGAGGUGUUGGUCUGUUUCUUUCUUCAAUCUUUCCAAGUUGAUAGGAGUAUAUUUAUGCAACUUAGUUAGCUUGUUUCUUGACCUUUACUUAGUUUAAUUCUAGUUAUUUUAGUACUUUAAGCUAUUUUCGUGUGUUUGUAGGUUCAAAUAACAAAGUUAGCAAUAAAGUGCUAUUUGGAGAAUUUUUGAGCAUUUUUCGGCCAAGAUUGGAUAGUGCAAGCAUGGAGACAUGAGGAUGGACGUUUUCGAAGAUUUGAAGGCUAAAAAUCAGCAUGUGUGUGUGCAAGUGUGUUGACCUACAACUCCAAACAUCUAUCCACUACACCCAUUACAUCCACUCAUUACCAAACAUUCAUCCACUACACCCAUUACAUCCACUCAUUACCAAAUGCAUCCACUACACCCAUUACAUCCACCCAUUACCAAAGACUCAUCCACUACACCCAUUACAUCGACUCAUUACCAAACAUCCACCCACUACACCCACUACACCCAUUACAUCCACUCAUUACCAAAGACUCAUCCACUACACAUUAAUGACUCAUUACCAAAACAUCCACACUACACCCAUUACAUCACUCAUUACCAAAACACUCACCAUCUACACCCAUUAGAUCCACUCAUUACCAAACAUCCACCCACUACAACCAUUACAUCCACUCAUUACCAAACAUUCAUCCACCACACCCAUUACAUCCACUCAUUACCACAACACUCAUCACUACCACUUUAAUUAGAUGGUGGUCCUCUCCCUCGCCUAUAAAUACAUUCACCUUUCACCAUAACAAAGGGGAGAAGAGAAUCCACCCAUCCACCUUCACCAUAACUCACCUAUAUCCAUCCACCACCACAAUUUACCACUCAUCCAUCAAACCACACUUUGUGCCACAACAAAGAGAAGAAGGAGGACCCUUGGACGUGCUUGCCAUUCAAGUUGGAUUGUUGGAGGGUUUUUAGGUGUUUUCAUUCUUUUGUUUUCAAUGUCUAAAUUUGUUUAUCUUUGCUAUGUGAGUAUAAGGAACUAAACCCCCCUUUGCUAGGGGGAAUUCGAAACCAUGUUCAUGCUUGCAAUAUGAUUUGAUUACCUUCAGUUGUGAUUUCAUAAGUUGUGAAUUCAAUUUGUUUAACUGCUUGAUUGAUAACUUAUUAGUGUAUGUUUAUUAAGAGUGCACACUUAGUUUGCAUGCAUGAAUAUGAUGCUAGAGUAU